rnacentral:lncRNA from 1 species
UCAAUAGACCAUAGUUAAACUUUGAUUACAUUUACUACUUUGUAAGAAGACAAUGAAAACCCUUAUCCCAAUGACCCAAACUGAGACAGCAGCAUGGGGCCAUGACUCACCUUGGGCUCUCUCCUGCCACCACCGCCAGAGGAGGGGUCUCGGCCCCACGGAGCCUGGCCUGGCCUUCGGCUUCCACCCUAUAAGGGAGACCCAAGAGACAAGGUGACACCCACAGUGAGACGCCAUCGACUGGGCUCCUCGGGCGGUCGGCGCUGCCCCGUUGGGAUCUCUCCUGCCACCACCGCCAGAGGAGGGGUCUCGGCCCCACGCAGCCUGGCCCGGCCUUCGGCUUCCACCCUACAAGGGACCCAAGAGACAAGGUGACACCCACAGUGAGACGCCAUCGACUGGGCUCCUCGGGCGGUCGGCGCUGCCCCGUUGGGCUCGAGGAUGGAAAGGCAGGAAGAGAAAGGCCCCGUUUCCUUGCGAGUGGACCUCAGAGUUCCAGACACACAUUAUUCAUCAUCGAUGCCUCAUACGCUGGCAUUGAUCAUCAUCGAUCCAGAAAAGGGGGACCUUCUCUUCCUUCGCCAUGGCCCGUGGAGUCAGGCAUUCCUCCCCGCACGGCCACUGGGCAACCCAAGGGGCCCGCCCCACCCAACGAGGCCUCGCCAUCCCUCGGGGGGGCCUCUAGGACCCGUCCCCUGGCUUUCGGUCUCUCUGGGCCGCGGAGGACCAGCUGGGCCCCUGUGCAGGACGUCCAAGAGACCUUCCUAGCCAGAGCUGUCCCAUCCCUGGGACGCCAGAGCCCUUCUGGACUGCUGGCCUCGCCCGCAUCUGCCGCCCACCCUCCACCAGCCCCUCGCACUGCCCUGCCCAGCCCAGCCCCGACAAGCCCUGGGAUGCUGCUCACACUGGCCUUCUGGAUCCAGAGACAACGCUGCCAUCCUCGCCUGCUCAUCCAGGAAGGAGCCUGCCUUCGGGUCCGGCGGCUGCACACUGAGGAGUACAAAGCCAAGAGCAGGAGACCCAAUGGCACAGCCAUUCUCCAGGCUCGCGGCUUCCACACACACACCUGGCCAUAGCCUGGCAUGCGGCAUACCAUGGGGGUCACCAAGGACCUGGCAAAUGCCUUCACUCCCUUUCUCUCUAGAUUCAGUUCUCUGAUACUGCCGGACGGGUGCUCACAUUUUCCCAUUGGGCUAACACCAGGAAAAUGCUGGAAUGCCCGUGCUCUGUCAGUCACCCUCGUCGUUUCCUGACCUCGGCCUAUUGGGUCACUGCUUUGUGGACAUUGAACCAGAUUCCUCCUUCAGUGGACCUCGGAGUUUCAGACAGGUUUUCAUCGUACAGGACGCAUAUGCCACCAGGAGUCAUCUUCAAUCCUAUACUGUCCCUCCUGUGUUCCCUUAGCUUGACCUUCUUUGUUGAUCAAUUUAUUAAAGGGCUGGGUAAGAUAUCAAUACCCUACCUGAACUUCCAGGGGUCCGUGGGAUGGGAAGCGUCUCAUGAUACCUGUCACCAUGGACUGUGCAAUUUGGUCUUGCCUUUACUCCCUCUCCCUUUCGUUUCCUUUUCU